rnacentral:rRNA from 1 species
AGUGAACGCUGGCGGUAGGCCUAACACAUGCAAGUCGAACGGCAGCACAGUAAGAGCUUGCUCUUACGGGUGGCGAGUGGCGGACGGGUGAGGAAUACAUCGGAAUCUACUUUUUCGUGGGGGAUAACGUAGGGAAACUUACGCUAAUACCGCAUACGACCUACGGGUGAAAGCAGGGGAUCUUCGGACCUUGCGCGAUUGAAUGAGCCGAUGUCGGAUUAGCUAGUUGGCGGGGUAAAGGCCCACCAAGGCGACGAUCCGUAGCUGGUCUGAGAGGAUGAUCAGCCACACUGGAACUGAGACACGGUCCAGACUCCUACGGGAGGCAGCAGUGGGGAAUAUUGGACAAUGGGCGCAAGCCUGAUCCAGCCAUGCCGCGUGAGUGAAGAAGGCCUUCGGGUUGUAAAGCCCUUUUGUUAGGAAAGAAAAGCAGCAGGUUAAUACCCCGCUGUUCUGACGGUACCCAAAGAAUAAGCACCGGCUAACUUCGUG